rnacentral:rRNA from 1 species
UACCAAGGCGACGAUGGUUAGCUGGUCUGAGAGGAUGAUCAGCCACACUGGAACUGGAACACGGUCCAGACUCCUACGGGAGGCAGCAGUGAGGAAUUUUGCGCAAUGGGGGAAACCCUGACGCAGCAACGCCGCGUGAGCGAAGAAGGCCUUCGGGUCGUAAAGCUCUGUCAAGUGGGAAAAAAAUUUUUUGAUCAAUAGUCAAAAGACUUGAUGGUACCACUGGAGGAAGCACCGGCUAACUCCGUGCCAGCAGCCGCGGUAAUACGGAGGGUGCAAGCGUUGUUCGGAUUUACUGGGCGUAAAGAGCGUGUAGGCGGUUUAGCAAGUCAGAUGUGAAAGCCCUGGGCUCAACCCGGGAAGUGCAUUUGAAACUGCUUCACUAGAGUAUGGGAGAGGAGAUUGGAAUUCCUGGUGUAGAGGUGAAAUUCGUAGAUAUCAGGAGGAACACCCGUGGCGAAGGCGAUUCUCUGGACCAAUACUGACGCUGAGACGCGAAAGCGUGGGGAGCAAACAGGAUUAGAUACCCUGGUAGUCCACGCCGUAAACGAUGAGAACUAGGUGUAGUGGGUAUUGACCCCUGCUGUGCCGAAGUUAACGCAUUAAGUUCUCCGCCUGGGGAGUACGGCCGCAAGGCUAAAACUCAAAGGAAUUGACGGGGGCCCGCACAAGCGGUGGAGCAUGUGGUUUAAUUCGACGCAACGCGAAGAACCUUACCUGGGUUUGACAUCCUCUGACCGUCUGGGAAACCAGAUUUUUCCGGCUUUGUCGGAACAGAGUGACAGGUGCUGCAUGGCUGUCGUCAGCUCGUGCCGUGAGAUGUUGGGUUAAGUCCCGCAACGAGCGUAACCCUUGUCUUUAGUUGCCAUUAUUAAGUUAGGCACUCUAAAGAGACUGCCUCGGUUAACGGGGAGGAAGGUGGGGAUGACGUCAAGUCCUCAUGGCCUUUAUAUCCAGGGCUACACACGUGCUACAAUGGGCUGUACAAAGGGUUGCUAACCUGCGAGGGUGCGCUAAUCCCAAAAAGCAGUUCUCAGUUCGGAUUGAAGUCUGCAACUCGACUUCAUGAAGGUGGAAUCGCUAGUAAUCGUGGAUCAGCAUGCCACGGUGAAUACGUUCCCGGGCCUUGUACACACCGCCCGUCACACCACGAAAGUCGACUGUACCAGAAGUUGCUGGGCUAACCUCUUCGGAGGAGGCAGGUACCUAAGGUACGGCCGGUAAUUGGGGUGAAGUCGUAACAAGGUA